CACAGGUCAGUUCUCUGAACCUAAAAAAAAAGGUCAGUUCUCUGAAAAAAAAGGUCAGUUAUCUGCCUCUGUCUGUCGACCGGAGCGGCACCGCGCCGCCGCCCCUCCUCCCAUCUCUGGCCCCGCGACCCGCCGAACGCCGACCGAAGGACUGCGAGGGCGUCGGGGCAGCGCACAACCCGAACACCCGGCAAUCGUGCUUGCCUCGCCCAGCCCAAUCGUCACGAGCAUCCAUGGCGGCGCCUGAAUCCGGCAGCCACGGCCGCAAACAGCACACGCCGGCAGGCGGCACACUUCACGCCUCCACAGCUCCUCCCCUAUUGCGCCGGCGAGUAGCACCGACCGUAGCAUCACUACAUCAACAUACGGUACUCUGCAGGCAGCAGCACCGUUCCAAAAAUAAAGAACAAGUCUGGUGAUUGAAAUGUUUGUGCACCCAUUCCUCAUUCCUUUUGCUUACAAAAGAAAUAUCAUGGAGUUAAACUGUGUUAUGUCAAGGUAUCACCAUGGCGAGAUCCCCUUUGCUGCUAACCAGGAACUUGAGAAUUGUUUCGAUGCUGAAAACUAUAAGUGAGAGCACUCUGAAGUUUGAUGUGCACUUGACGCUGGAUCAUUGGACUUCCCCUGUUGAGUUCGAAUUUGAUUCUGCUAAUUCUGAUGUAGCGCCAGCAUGUAACAACAUCUAUGCUGAUGUUCGCAAAUUUCCUUCUUGGAUUAUCUUCUGUGUAAGUUCCUGCAAAUUGGUAUAGGUGCAGUGCACUGGCUCAUGGUCUUGCUGCCCAGGCGCAUCAGAUUUGGUAAUCUAUGGAUGGGGAAUGUCCCUCCAUUGUUGAAUUGGCUUGUAAUGACUAUGUAACUCUGAUUCCGUAUGACCAUUCAAAAAAAGAAAAAGGAAACUGA